rnacentral:rRNA from 1 species
UGCAGUCGAGCGGAUGAGAAGAGCUUGCUCUUCGAUUCAGCGGCGGACGGGUGAGUAAUACCUAGGAAUCUGCCUGGUAGUGGGGGACAACGUUUCGAAAGGAACGCUAAUACCGCAUACGCCCUACGGGGGAAAGCAGGGGACCUUCGGGCCUUGCGCUAUCAGAUGAGCCUAGGUCGGAUUAGCUAGUUGGUGAGGUAAUGGCUCACCAAGGCGACGAUCCGUAACUGGUCUGAGAGGAUGAUCAGUCACACUGGAACUGAGACACGGUCCAGACUCCUACGGGAGGCAGCAGUGGGGAAUAUUGGACAAUGGGCGAAAGCCUGAUCCAGCCAUGCCGCGUGUGUGAAGAAGGUCUUCGGAUUGUAAAGCACUUUAAGUUGGGAGGAAGGGUACUUACCUAAUACGUGAGUAUUUUGACGUUACCGACAGAAUAAGCACCGGCUAACUCUGUGCCAGCAGCCGCGGUAAUACAGAGGGUGCAAGCGUUAAUCGGAAUUACUGGGCGUAAAGCGCGCGUAGGUGGUUCGUUAAGUUGGAUGUGAAAUCCCCGGGCUCAACCUGGGAACUGCAUCCAAAACUGGCGAGCUAGAGUAGGGCAGAGGGUGGUGGAAUUUCCUGUGUAGCGGUGAAAUGCGUAGAUAUAGGAAGGAACACCAGUGGCGAAGCGACCACCUGGGCUCAUACUGACACUGAGGUGCGAAAGCGUGGGGAGCAAACAGGAUUAGAUACCCUGGUAGUCCACGCCGUAGAUGUCAACUAGCCUUGGAAUCCUUGAAUUUUAGUGGCGCAGCUAAGCAUUAAGUUGACCGCCUGGGGAGUACGGCCGCAGUUAAAACUCAAAUGAAUUGAGGGGCCCGCACAAGCGGUGGAGCAGUGGUUUAAUUCGAAGCACGCAAACCUUACCGCUGACUGCAACUUUCCAGAUUGGUGCCUUCGGAACUCUGAACGCUGCAUGGUGUCGCAGCUCUGUCGAGUGGACCAGCACUCUCUGCAGCUCACGUAAUCGGGCUCGGACAAGUGA